UUUGAAUUGUAAUUUUGAAAUGUAUUGCCAAUGGAGGCGCAGGUGCAAGCCUAUUGAAAGAAAGCGUCAAUGAGGGUGAGAUUCCUUUUUGUCAUUUGCAGUCCUCCGUGCACGGUAUAUAUUUGACGAGUCACACUCCUCGGCAUUGGAAUGCAAAGUGGGUGGUAAAUUCCAUGUAAAGGUAAAUAUAUUAUUGAGACUGAUAGCAAACAAGUACCAUGAGGGAAAUAUGAAAAGGACUUUGAAAAGAGAAUUAAAAGAGUCUGCAUUUGCUGAACAGAAAGCAAACAGAAUUGAUUUUACUUGGUGAGAUUGUUGUGCUUACUCUAUCAUUUAUAUGGUUGAUGUGGGUGCGAUGGUUCUUACCUUGAAUGUCAGCUUCUAUUUCUGCAAAUCAUUACCCUUGCACAUGAAUGGUAACUUGCCUGCGGGUAUUGGAAUGCAUGUGUUUGCAAUGAUUUGUGAUUUGACGCAUGUGUUUGGUGAAAUUUGUAUAUGCUCUUUUGUCGAAGGGGAAAGCUUACUUUUUUGAGCAUUGCAAGCCCUUACACAUCAGUGCUGGCAAAAUGUUUCUGCUUGACCCGUCUUGAAACACGGACCAAGGAGUCUAACAGAUGUGCAAGUUCGUGGGUGGCAAACCUUUUUGCGCAAUGAAAGUAUUGGCUGGGAUACUUGCACCAGCAGCCGACCAAUUAGCAGACAGAGGUUUGAGUUUGAGCAUAUCUAUUAGGACCCGAAAGAUGGUGAACUAUGCCUGAACAGAAUGAAUUCAGAGGAAACUCUGAUGGAGGUUCGUAUCGAUACUGACGUGCAAAUCGUUCGUCAUACUUGGGUAUAGGGGCGAAAGACUAAUCGAACCAUCUAGUAGCUGGUUCCCUCCGAAGUUUCCCUCAGGAUAGCUGGAGUUGCACAGUUUUAUCAGGUAAAGCGAAUGAUUAGAGGAAUUGGGGACACGCUGUCCUUGACCUAUUCUCAAACUUUAAAUGGGUAAGAUGCAAUGGUUGCUUUAUUGAACUUUUGGAAUAAAUGGCAAUAUCAGGUGGGCCAUUUUUGGUAAGCAGAACUGGCGAUGAGGGAUGAACCUAACGUUGGGUUAAGGUGCUUAAUUGCUUGCUCAUUAGAUACCAGAAAGGGUGUUGGUUCAUUUUAACAGCAGGACGGUGGUCAUGGAAGUCGAAAUCCGCUAAGGAGUGUGUAACAACUCACCUGCCGAAUGGACUAGCCCCGAAAAUGGAUGGCGCUCAAGCGGGUGACCGAUACCCAACCACUGUUGCAAAUAGUGUCAGUGUGUAGGAGGGCAUGGCGGUUUGUGAUGCAGCCUUUGG
rnacentral:rRNA from 1 species